AGGCAAGACCGCGAGGUGGAGCAAAUCUCAAAAAGCCGUCCCAGUUCGGAUCGCAGGCUGCAACCCGCCUGCGUGAAGUUGGAAUCGCUAGUAAUCGCGGAUCAGCAUGCCGCGGUGAAUACGUUCCCGGGCCUUGUACACACCGCCCGUCACACCAUGAGAGUCGGGAACACCCGAAGUCCGUAGCCUAACCGCAAGGGGGGCGCGGCCGAAGGUGGGUUCGAUAAUUGGGGUGAAGUCGUAACAAGGUACC
rnacentral:rRNA from 1 species